AUUGAACGCUGGCGGCAGGCCUAACACAUGCAAGUCGAGCGGAGCGGCGGACGGGAGAGUGAUGCAUAGGAAGCUGCCUGCUCGAGGGGGAUAACGUACGGCAACAGGCGGUAAUUACGCAUACUCUCAGUCGAGUCUAGGUCGGAUUAGCUAGUUGGUGGGGGAAGGGCUUACCAAGGCGACGAUCCGUCACUGGUCUGUGUGGAUGAUCAGCCACACUGGAACUGAGACACGGCCCAGACUCCUACGGGAGGCAGCAGGGGGGAAUAUUGGACAAUGGGCGAAAGCCUGAUCCAGCCAUGCCGCGUGUAUGAAGAAGGUCUUAGGAUUGUAAAGCACUUUAAGUUGGGAGGCGUUACCAACAGAAUAAGCACCGGCUAACUCCGUGCCAGCAGCCGCGGUAAUUC
rnacentral:rRNA from 1 species